GGAAGAGUCAGCUUUCCUUGUGGUGCUUAUACUAAGAAAACGUGAACUCCUGCCUUGGGGAUCUUACUGACAGCUGUGAGAAAUGAUCCAUCAUCUUUGGGAAAAAGGCUACAAGCUGGAGUCCUGGACCAUUGACACCUGUGCAGCUUCCUUCCAAGGCCCCUCUCUCUGGUGAGAAGAGGGCUUCUCUCCCCGUGGUUGUUGGAUGUUAGGCUCUCUGCUGUGAGACUUCUCAUCCCUGCUCCUUCUUGUCCUGCUCAGAAUGAACUGUCCUUAGGCAGGAACAUUUCCAGUCCCUCACUCUGUUUAGUCUCCAUAUUUAAGGUUCCGAUGAAGAAGUGCCUCACGCUGAGUGAGUUACUCAUGUCCUGAAUUCAGGUAGUGUCACCCACCCCGCAGAAAACAGACCAAACUCACCCAGACACUUGGGCCUGCUCUGAAUCCCUCCCCACCU